rnacentral:rRNA from 1 species
UGGGGAAUAUUGCACAAUGGGCGAAAGCCUGAUGCAGCGACGCCGCGUGAGGGAUGACGGCCUUCGGGUUGUAAACCUCUUUCAGCAGGGACGAAGCGCAAGUGACGGUACCUGCAGAAGAAGCACCGGCUACUACGUGC